CUGUUUGUCUGACAUUAAUCUACUUUACUGUAGAAAAAUAACGUAUUUCAGUUCUGUUUGAAAUAAAUGUGUAAAUAAUUAUUAUUUAAAAGCAUCAAGUUCAUUAAAACAUGUAGAAAGGAAUAUAAACUCGAAAAAAAUAUGGACUUUGUUUAAAGUAGAAUGUAAUCAUUUCUUUGCCAGGUUUAGAAAAGUGAAGAAAAAUGAAAUAAAUAAUAUUUAUUUACAUAAUAAAUUCCAUCCAUUGCCUUACAUAGCCUUUUUAUUUAAAAAUUAUACAUUUUCUUGUUUAAUGUAAGAUCAGGGAGUAUAUUCAGUGGAUACAUGCUUGUUGACAGUGCAGGAGGUUUUUGUACGGCCACUUAAUGAGUUUGUAUCACUGUGGUGGACUUUUGGUGGAGGAACCAAACUCAUCGUUCAAUCGGGCUCCAUGGUCAGGCCCUCGGUCUCCCUUCUGGCGCCCUCCUCUGAGCAGCUCUCUGGGGGCUCGGUCACGCUGGCCUGCCUGCUGUCCGGCUACUCUCCUCAGGGAGCCGUGGUGAGCUGGGAGGUGGACGGCACAGCGGUGACAGAGGGGGUGCUGAGCAGCUCGGAGGAGGAGAAGAGCGGACGCUACAGCAGCAGCAGCGCCCUGAGCCUGAGCCAGGAGCGCUGGCUGUCAGGAGAUCUAUACUCCUGCAAGGUCCUCCAUCAUGACCACAGCCAGACCCAGUCCAUCCACAGGAGCCAAUGUGAGGGCUAGAGGGGCCGGCUGAAGCCCAGGACAGGAGCUGUGUGUCGGGGGGAGCAGGGGGAACACAUACUGCUCUGAUCAUUAUGAGUUUUACUGUUUGUAGAGGAAACUAAAGCUUUGUGUGGCAGAGAACAACACUGCUGUAAAGUGUUGGACAGCAACAACUUAGAGAGUAAUGUGUAAAGCUCAGCAGAGAUGUGAGCGUGCUUAGUAACUGUCAUGUUGAUGAUUCAUCAUUUUCCUAAUAAAGCUUUAACUGAUAAAUAUCA